ensembl:lncRNA
UAAAUCAGCUAUACAUUCAGGUGUUAUAACAAAAAUGGGCGGAUUAAUACAAAUACAAAAACUCUCUAACAUAACACAAACAUUUAAUCAUACUAUGUUUAUCACUAGAAAUAACAUUAAAGCAAUCAUUGGUGACCAUAAAAAUAAAACUUCUUAUUAUAUUACAAAGCCUAAUGGUUUAACAUGUACUUUCCCUAUAACAAUUUAUAAUAAAAAUGAAACAUUACCGUUUGUAACUGAUGAAAGUGAUAAAACUGAUAAAAGUGAUGAUAACACACUCGGCUCUUUUAUCCAACUUGACUCAACAUUAUAUAACACUGCUUCUACCUCUCCUCCAGCUGUUUUAGUACAUGUAAAUCAUGCAGCGCUAAAAAACCAACUACAUAAUAUUUUUAAUUGGUAUGAUACAGCUAAUUAUAAAACUAAUUUUACACAAAUGGUAGGUAUGAAUCAUGAACGCCAUUCUCCAAACGCUGAAAACUUGAACAAUAGUCAUGCGCAAUCUGACUCAAACCAAACAACAAACAAAGAUCCCAAUUUAAUAAAUGAAUUUCGUAAUUUAUAUCAAAACUAUAAAAACAAUAACAAUAAAGUAUAUCAAAAUUCAAUACAAAAACAUGAAAGUAAUAUUAUACCAAAUAUACUCCCAAAAAAAAUGGAUAUAGCAUAUCAACAUAAUAUAUUACAAAAAAUAAAAACGGAACAAGAAAUGUUAGAUAGUUUUUUAAAAAAAAUGGAAGCAGAGAGUUUAGGGUUACUCAAACAAUUUGAUUUAAUCACUACUGAAAAAAAAUUUAUUAUUAACAGAUUAGAAAAUGCAUUAAGAAAUGUAAAACCAAUGACAAUUGAAACAUUUCAAGAAAAAUAUGAAUCAACAAAUAUUAAUGAUAAUUAUAUAAUUAUUGAUAGUGAUGAUAUAAUCAAAACAUCUAAUUGGAAAAUAGAAAAAUAUAAAAAUGGAUCAUUAUUUUCAUCAAUAACAAAUGAUCAUAUUAUACAAUCCAAUAAAAAUAUAUAUGCUUCAUAUAUAUUAAAUAGAGAGAUAAAAUUAUGGAAAGGUUUUAUAUCUUUAGAUGUACAAUUACCAUAUAAAGGAAAUUUUGGUAUUAUUUUUAUGUAUAAAGAUAGUAAUAAUUAUUCUAAUUUUAUAAUCAAUAAAGAAGAACAUUUUUUUAUAGAAAUAAAGGAUGGUAAAAAAAGUGAACCUAUCAAUAUAACUAAAAUUAAUACCUUAUCCAACCCAAUUGGAAAUUGGAUACAAAUCUUUCUUGUUUUCAGCUCAUCUGAUGUUUACGUAUAUGUAAAUAAAAAACUUGUAAAUAAAUAUAAAACAAAAAAUGAUACACCAGGCUUAAUAGGAUUAGGAAUAAAUCAUUGUAAAGAAAAAAUAUAUGUUGAUAAAUUUGUAAUAGGGUCUUUAGAUCAAGCAAAAUAUUACAAAUAUGCAAGUCCUUAUAAUUUAACUCCCGAAGUAAACUACAAUUUCGAAAAAAGUAACACAAUUAUCAAUGUUGAUAAAAUCAAACAACCGAAUCAGAUAAAAAAUGACGAAAAGGCGACAGAUGAUCAACCUACUACUGUCAAAUGUCAACCAUUUUACGAACUGUUUCAUGCCUUAUUACAUACCAACUGGAUUGAACCACCUAAUUCUACUUGGAAAAUCUAUAAUAGCUUUAGUCUGGCUUCUAUUUUUGAUAAAAGUAAAAAAUAUAACCGCAAAAACAUAAGAGAGACAAAAAAUACAAAAAACAACAAUGAAUUUGAUAAUAUAAACUGGCCAAAUAUGAAAAUACCUGCCACUACCAAAAAUAGUGAUAAUCAAAGCAACAAACAUAACAGCUACUUAUAUGGAAUACAAAAAACAAGUAAACAAAAUUUAUUAACACCUUCAAUUAUACUUUUAAAAAAACAAAAUAUAUGUUCUAACAUUUUAUCUUACAAAUUUAAUGUAUCAGUUAUGUUAAAAAACAAUUCUAAAGCUGGAAUUAUUUUUAGAGUUCUAUCAUCUGAUGAUUUUUUAUCCAUUAUAUUAGAUGUUAGUGAAGCGAUAGGUAAAUUAUAUCUUUUAAAAAUCUCAAAAGGUAUACCCUAUCAAUUAAUUACACCAACACAUUUACCCAUUGUUCAAAACUCUUGGUAUAACUUACAACUUAUGUUUAAUGGUUCAACAGUCCAAUUAAUAAUGAAUAAUGCAAAUAUUAUUAACUCCAGGUUUAAUGAGCAUGUAAAUGAUUUAGGUGAUAUUGGUCUUGUAGUGUUAAAUGGAGAAGCUGGUUUUGGUAAUAUAUCGUUUCUACCUAAUGAAGUUUCUACUUUGACAUAAUUUUUUUUUUUAAUUUUUGUUCUAUUUUUUGUCGUUUCUGUUUCAAUCUAAUUUUUUUGUUUUUAUUUUUGUUUGAUGUUUGUUUGAUGUUUGUUUGAUGUUUGUUUGAUGUUUGUUCGAU